AAGCAGAAUAAAACUGAAACAAGGAUAAAGUCCCUCCAACUUCUGGCCCAACAAAAGGUUGCAGGACACGCUGGUUCAACGUGGACAAUCCCACAAAGCGAGGGGACUGUGAGACCCUCCUCCAGCUGCAGAUAUUGUAUCCCAGUCAGGUCUGCUCCAGGCCCGUGGCCGUUGAAGCCGUGACAGUGUCCGGUGUCCCUGCACACAGGACUGGGGGACGUCUUUCAGAUAUUUGAUGCUACUCUCGGCUUUGCGUGUGUGAAUGCCGAGCAGCCUCGUGGAAAACUCUGUCAGGACUACAAGGUCCGCCUUACAUGCCCGCUGACUUUCUGCUCAGUGUGACCUAUGAGUGCAUUUUUGGGAAUUUACUGUUGGUGCAUGGUGUGUAAUGUCUCAUAAGGCAUUAUGAUAUGUCGUCAACCUAUAGAAUAGAAGUCUUCCAGGCUUGCGCCUCACGAGACGAGAGGUUUUGUCAA